rnacentral:lncRNA from 1 species
ACGUCAUUAUAUAUAAUAAUUGAAAGCAGUUAGAGUAUGCUAGAGACAAUUAGAAUUAUAGUCAUCUUUAAGCAAUACAGGAAUUUAGGAAUUUGGAGAAAUAGAGUUCUCCUAAAAAGGAUAGGAAUUUAAAACUUUAAACAUAACAAAUAAAGUUAUUCAAAAUAUCUAAGACUAAGAAAAGUAAAGUCAAAUGAACUAGGCAGCGGCAUUUCCAUCUCCAUUAAGAGUUGUUUCCAAGGUGUCCUCCACGCCAUCUCCACGCCAUCUGCUCCCAUCCAAGUGGAUGAUCAUCGCAAGGAAAACAUAAGCAAACAUGGCACAAACACAAGCAAAUGCAAGGGUGAGCUAAUUAUACAAAAAAAAAACAUGCAUCACAUCAAGUAUAUAACAUACAAUAAAUAACUUAAAUCAAAUAGUUUAAGAAACACAACCUAAGCAUGUUAUUUUCUAGACUUGACUCGUCCGGACUUUAAAAUGAUAGUCGAGCUAUGGCGAGUCUUGCACCCGUGGUGACUUAUGAAACUAGGGUUCCCCACCCUGCCACACUCACGAGGUUAGUCCGUUUCGCGCCUUGAGGCAUACUGGGAGCCCCCAAGACUAAGGACCUCCUACUACUUCUCACCACAUGGUUCAACCUCUCUAAGUGAGUUUGAUUGACCAUUAAAGCGUCAGAAUGACUCCCAAGGAUGAACCCCUACUUUCAUUUCACAUUUACCACCAUCAACACAUUAGAAAUCAAGUUUUAUGCCUUCCCAAUUCACAUACUUUUCAACCACAAUUCACAAUCAAUACACACAGUCAAUCAUCAGGUUUAAAUACAAUUUCCAACACAUUAUAUACAUAGUUUCAAUAAUAUGUCUUUCUCCUCAAUCACAAAAUUUAUAACACAAUCUCGUUACCUCUCAUAACUGCUAUCAAAACAACAUUUAUCCCUCAGUUUCAAAGUUUCACAACUCAAAGUAAUUAUUCAAUUAAGAAAAAUCAACUUAACAACCAAUUAACAAAACACCACCAACCUAUGCUGCUAACUUCCAAACGCUCACAUCAUCAUUAAAUAUUCUCAAUAUCCAAAACUUUCAUCAAAAUUUAUCAUCAGCUUUACCUAUCUUUAUCAAAAUCAUUAACAACUAAAAGUAAUAAUGCUUAAUGAAUAUUACAGAAAUAACAUGAUCACAAGUUAUUGUUUCAAUGUCAUCUUUAAUCUUAACAUCAACACCUCACAAAUCUUUCUCAAUCUUCCAAUUAAAAUGAAACCCACAUUGCGACCGAAUUUACCAAAAUCAAAGGACUCCUCUACUGCACCUAUAAUUUUCUUCUACAACUUUUCCAUGUUUUUGAAUCCAAUUAAAUUAUAAUAACCAAUCACCCUUUCCCAUUCAAUUCAUAUACAUAAUAUUCACUGUUUGCGAUCCUAAGUGUAAAUCCAAUUUUCUUCUAUCUUUAUAUCAAGGAAAAAAAUAACGUGAACAAUUUAAUUAAAAGCAUUCAAUACUUCCUACAAGGUAUCAUUACCUCGUGAUAAAAUUUACUUAAUAACAUUAUUAUAUUUUACAUAUCACCUGUUAUAAUAAUAUUUUACAAGCAUUCAUUACAUGAUAAAAAGAAAUAUAUAUAUAUAUAUAUAUAUAUAUAUAUAUAUAUAUAUAUAUAUAUAUAUAUAUAUAUAUUAUAAUAUACAAAGAUGAGUAAAAGAUAUAUAUUAAUAUAUUAUAUACAAAGAUCACAUAAUGGAAUGAAUAUAGUAUAAUAUACUAUUUAUAUCAAUCUGGAUAUUAAAAGGAAACCUAACAAAUCCAAAAACUCAUCAUCCUAUUUUCUCCUCUGCAAUCUAAUUUCUCUCACAUCUUAUAUAAUCAAUUCAACAAUAUCACAUUCAAUUUCAGUUAGUAACUCAAUUUAAAACAGAUAAAAUUUAUCACCAUGCCAAUUCACAGAUUUAUACUUUUCAUCAGUUUCACAGUUUGGGCAUCCAAUAAAAUUAAAAAUUUGCACGGCAGCUUCACAAACAUCGGUUCAACAUUCAACAUGCAGUUAUUUUAUAAAAUAAAUUCCUAAAAAAAUAAUCAACUCCCCUUACCUGGAAAGCUUGACAGUACCUCUUGUUACGAGUGCCUUAAGACAGUACCCACCCAACGGAGCACAACAACACCCUACAACUCACCAAAGAGGCGAUGGAAAAAAGCUCUUAGAGCUAGAAUAUAAUAGAAAUCAGAAAAGGAGAGGUUCUAACUGCAUGAGAUCAGUAAAACCCAAGCCCUAGGUUUCAAAAAUAACGGAGGAAACAGAAGAAUCACUUACCGGAAGGAGACAAAGAAAGUAAUCGGUUCAGAAUGAAGCCCUCUACAUUAGGAGUGUUUAGGUACCUUCUUUACCAAAGAUUGGACGGUUCAACAGAGUGGUAUUUAGAGAGAAGACAGAGCAAUAUUUAGGAUAAGGGUUUUUAGAGAGAGAGUGGAAAAUUAGUACUUUGGAAAAAAAAUCUCUUCUAAGAUCAUGUGCCCUUAGUCUGAUGGGUCUGACUGCCUCUAAUUAGGGCCCAAUGGCCCGUUCUUAUUCAGGUCCUUACAUUAGCCACAUUAAUACACAAAAUUUUAAUAUGAAAAUGAAAAACCUUACACACCC